rnacentral:lncRNA from 1 species
GGCUGAGCUUAUUGGAGAGUCUGGAAGAGGCCUUUGGAUUCUUUUCUCUACAAACAUUUUAUGGAUUUGUUUCUUGUUCAUCAUUUAAUGAACUGCAAACAGUUCUGCAAACUGUCAUCAAACAAAAUAACACAUAUGAGAGAGUAAUGAAACAAAUAAAACAGCGCAUGCUAUGAAAUGGACAAAAUAACAAAAAGGUAACCUUG